rnacentral:rRNA from 1 species
GAAAAGAAACCAACAGGGAUUGCCCUAGUAACGGCGAGUGAAGCGGCAACAGCUCAAAUUUGAAAUCUGGCCCCAGGCCCGAGUUGUAAUUUGCAGAGGAUGCUUUUGGCAAAGCGCUUACCGAGUCCCCUGGAACGGGGCGCCACAGAGGGUGAGAGCCCCGUAUGGUAGGACGCCGAGCCUCUGUAAAGCUCCUUCGACGAGUCGAGUAGUUUGGGAAUGCUGCUCUAAAUGGGAGGUAAAUUUCUUCUAAAGCUAAAUACCGGCCAGAGACCGAUAGCGCACAAGUAGAGUGAUCGAAAGAUGAAAAGCACUUUGAAAAGAGGGUUAAAUAGCACGUGAAAUUGUUGAAAGGGAAGCGCUCGUGACCAGACUUGCGCCGGGCGGAUCAUCCAGCGUUCUCGCUGGUGCACUCCGCCCGGCUCAGGCCAGCAUCGGUUUUCGCCGGGGGACAAAAGCUUCGGGAACGUGGCUCCCUUCGGGGAGUGUUAUAGCCCGUUGCUUAAUACCCCGGCGGGGACCGAGGACCGCGCUUCGGCAAGGAUGCUGGCGUAAUGGUCAUCAGCGACCCGUCUUGAAACACGGACCGAGGAGUCAAGCAUUAGUGCGAGUGUUUGGGUGUAAAACCCGCACGCGUAAUGAAAGUGAACGUAGGUGAGAGCUUCGGCGCAUCAUCGACCGAUCCUGAUGUUUUCGGAUGGAUUUGAGUAGGAGCAUUAACGCUUGGACCCGAAAGAUGGUGAACUAUACUUGAAUAGGGUGAAGCCAGAGGAAACUCUGGUGGAGGCUCGCAGCGGUUCUGACGUGCAAAUCGAUCGUCAAAUUUGAGUAUAGGGGCGAAAGACUAAUCGAACCAUCUAG